GUUGUCGCGAAGUCCUAAGGGCUUUCUUUUAACCAAACUUGGCGGCGUUGGCUGCAAACUUGUUCAAGGAACAUGGGUUGCUUGUCUUGUUUAGUGCGUUUUCCCGAGCAUUCAGAGCAGGGCGUUCAACUGAUCUCUGGCGUGGAUACGAGGGAAAAAACAUUUGUGACCUUGGAGUAUGUGGCUUUUUCUUGAGAAAGAUGAAAGCCGAAAACCAGAUUUCCCACUUUGUUCUGUUUUUCACUGCCAUAAAAGGGAUUCCCAGAGUUCAAAUGCUAUACCGUUAUAAAGUCUAGAUGAACUGGCAAACGUCUGUAAACACAUCUUCAAGACUGAAACCAUCACGCCUGCAGUAAAACGAGCCCUCAGUGCAUUCGGCAAGAAAAUGUUGGCCUUUUCCUGCUACAUCCACUUUUGCAUAUGGUCCUAAGAAAUUAGGACCAUAGAGGGGAAACUAGUCAAAUUAUUCAGUAAACAAUUAGUUGCAAAAGCCAAAAUUUCCACUGAGGGACUACCAUCUGAAGUCAGAAAUAUCCCUUCAAUUAAACAAUGGCUGCAAGUUGUAGGAAUUUCCCAACCAUCAGUUGAAGCUUUAUGUGCCAAAUUCCACUCACUGGAGUCCCUGCAAGAACUUUGUGAUCAUGAAA